UACGAAGGGGACUAGCGUUGUUCGGAUUUACUGGGCGUAAAGCGCGCGUAGGCGGAUCGCUAAGUCAGGGGUGAAAUCCCAAGGCUCAACCUUGGAACUGCCUUUGAUACUGACGAUCUGGAGAUUGGGAGAGGUGAGUGGAAUUCCGAGUGUAGAGGUGAAAUUCGUAGAUAUUCGGAGGAACACCAGAAGCGAAGGCGGCUCACUGGCCCAAUACUGACGCUGAGGCGCGAAAGCGUGGGGAGCAAACAGGG
rnacentral:rRNA from 1 species